GUCCAGGGUAGCCUAGUGGACAUGGCAUCUGCCCGGUAAGCGGAACACUGUGGGUUCGUUUCCCAUCCCUUAACA
rnacentral:tRNA from 1 species